AUUGGAGGGUGCACCUUAAGAGAAUAGGUUGAGUGAACUUGGCCUUUCCUCCUUGGAGCAACGGAGGAUGAGAGGUGACCUGACAGAGCUGUAUAAGAUGAUGAGAGGCAUUGAAUGUGUGGACAGUCAGAGGCUUUUCCCCAGUGCUGAAAUGGCUAGCGUGAGAGGGCACAAUUUUAAGGUGCUUGGAAGUAGGUAUCAAAGGGGGUGUCAGGGGUAAGUCUUUCACACAGAGAGUGGUGGGCGUGUGGAAUGCACUGCCAGCGACGGUGGUGGAGGUGGAUACAAUGGGGCAUCUUAAGAGACAUGGAGCUUAGAAAAAUAGAGUGCUAUGCGGUAGAGUAAUUCUAAGCGGUUUUUAGAGUAGGUUGUAUGGUCAGCAUAAAAUUGAGGGCCGAAGGGCCUGUAAUAUGUUGUAGAUUUCUUUGUUCUGUGUAUGUUCUAAGGGUGUCAAAGGUUAUGGCAGAGGAGAAGGCAGGAGAAUGGGGUUGAGAGGGAUAGCAUAUCACCCACACUUGAAUGCUGGACUUGAUGGGCCAAAUGGCCUACUUUUGCUCCUGUGUCUCAUGGUCUUGUGGCUUCGAGUUUCUCUGAACGUCCUUCCCUCGCUUCUACCGGCAGGGUGACUACCGGCAACUGGUCCACCAGAUCGAUGAGGCUCAGUACAGUGAGAUCCGAGCAAUGGUGAUGGAGAUCAGGAAUCAGUAUGCUCUGCUCUACGACCUCAUCAGCAAGAACUUCGACAAGAUCAAGAAACCUCGAGGGGACUCGAAGGCACUGAUCUACUGAGGGAGGGGAUCAUAACAACAUUGACCCCAAGGCCCUCUGCUCUGCCACAUCCUCUCCCCCCCAUGCUCUGCACUGUGGGUCAGGUACACCCGCCCCUGGGUGAGAGUGUUACGGACAUAGCUUGUUAAUAAACUCUCUGAAUUUA